UACGGGGGGGCAAGCGUUGUUCGGAAUUACUGGGCGUAAAGGGCCAGUAGGCGGCCAACUAAGUCGGAUGUGAAAUCCCCAGGCUCAACUUGGGAACUGCAUCCGAUACUGGAUGGCUUGAAUCGGGAGAGGGAUGCAGAAGUUCCAGGUGUAGCGGUGAAAUGCGUGAGAUAUCUGGAGGAAUACCGGGUGGCGAAGGCGGCAUCCUGGACCGACAUUGACGCUGAACGGCGAAAGCUAGGGGAGCAA
rnacentral:rRNA from 1 species